UUGUUCUCCAAAUAGGAACUAGUAUGAACGGCUAAAAUGAGGGCCCAACUGUCUCCUUUAGCAAGCCAAUGAAAACUGAUCUUUCAGUACAAAAGCUGAAAAUAAACACAUAAGACGAGAAGACCCUGUGGAGCUUUAAACUACCACUAGACCACCCACCCCAGACUAGCCAGCAGUUUUAAGUUGGGGCGACUACGGGACCAAAAAAACACCCGCGAGCCAGGGCCCACAGCCCGCUACUGGCCCACAUGCCAAAAGCACACUAACACUCGACCCAGCCAUCACUGAGCAACGAACCCAGUUACCCCAGGGAUAACAGCGCCAUCCUCUUAAAGAGUCCAUAUCGCCAAGAGGGCUUACGACCUCGAUGUUGGAUCGGGACACCCAGGCGGUGCAGCCGUGCCAAAGGUUCGUUUGUUCAACGACUAACGUCCCACGUGAUCUGAGUUCAGACCGGAG
rnacentral:rRNA from 1 species